rnacentral:rRNA from 1 species
GUAGUCUCGCACAGAUGCAUAUCAAUAAGCGGAGGAAAAGAAACUAACAAGGAUUCCCUUAGUAACGGCGAGUGAAGCGGGAAGAGCUCAAAUUUGAAAUCUUCAAGGUUUUACCUUGACGAAUUGUAGUUUAAAGAAGUGUUUUCUGUUGAAGUUUUGGUAAAAGUUCUUUGGAAUAGGACAUCAUAGAGGGUGAGAAUCCCGUAUUUGACCAUUAUUUUCAGCUGUGUGAUACACUUUCAAAGAGUCGGGAUUGUUUGGGAAUGCAGUCCCAAAACUGGGUGGUAAAUUUCAUUCUAAGCUAAAUAUUGGCGAGAGACCGAUAGCGAACAAGUACCGUGAGGGAAAGAUGAAAAGAACUUUGAAAAGAGAGUUAAACAGUACGUGAAAUUGUCAAAAGGGAAGCGUUUGACACCAGUGUUGUUUUCUCGAAAAUCAAUUAAAAAGAGUUAGAUUUUGUUGUGUAUUGACCUUAACAGCUUGCAUUUCAAUUUUCUUGCUUUUUUUAAUGCACUUUUCGUUUAACAAGUCAACAUCAGUUUCUUUUGUUGUAAAAAGGUCAUUGGAAGGUGGCUUUCUUUUCGGAGAAAGUGUUUAUAGCCUUUGACUCCUGCAAUCGGAGAGACUGAGGUCUGCAGCGUAGAUCCUUCGGGGUUAGGAUACAUUUGUGCUAAGUUAUAGCUUUUUAUAGACAACUUGUUGACUAUGAUUAGUCUUGUAGCUUACUCGCUUAUGCUAUUUUACCUACGCUUAGGAUGUUGAAGAUGUAGCACAUCAU